CUACAAAAGGAUUACCGAGACUACAAAGACCAGCCUAUAUUACAACACAAGAAAAAUGUACUUGAAUGCUGGGUAGCGAUGCCAAGACAGUGCAGAAAAAUGUGUUUUGUUUCGCUAUUUUGUGUUAGAACAUGAAAUCAAUGAUGACUAUACCUAAAAUACGAGAUGGCUUUCUGUACCUUUCUGUCUGAGUCGCAGUAAUGGCAAGAAUCAGCGUGUCAAAUGGUGAGCUUAGCAUAACUACAUUUACGGUGUCUUGAGACACUGUGACUGCACUACAACGACUUCUUUGCUGCUUCCCUAGGUUGAAUUUUGCUUAUGUAUGCGAUGCACAGGAUGUGAGAAUAGCUUUAGAAACAUGGGAACAAAAAUCUGAAAUAUUUUUUUGAGAACAAUGUUUUCUUUUGACCCACACAAUCAUAAAAAUAGGCAUGACAAGGCAUUGCCACUGUCUCACGCUGUCCUUACAGCAUUCAAUAGGUGACUUACUAAACACAUCUCUAAAUGAAGCCACAAUCAAUAAUUGAGAUGGCAUUUGAUGCUGAAACAAGCAGUGUAUGCUAGAGCAAACAAGGCAAUGUCACCACAUGCAUACAAUUUUUCUGAGUGAAUAAAUGCUA
rnacentral:lncRNA from 1 species